rnacentral:lncRNA from 1 species
UUUUUCUGCUCUUGAAGGAAGAAGAGAUCCAGAGGAGACAGCAUAAAAGGACAAAACCAGCAUUGAGGAAGCAUCUGCUAUCUGGCUGUGGAGAUAUCAACUCACCCCUCUACUUCUCAGCAAGGAGGACCUUGGGAGUGAGAGUGACAGUAGCAGCAGCAGAAGCAGCAACAGUGACAGGGAGACUGAACAGGUUGUACAGAGUGAAAGGGUGAUUACAAAGAAAAGGAAGAGAUGCAGUUAGCCCUGAAGGAUUCGGUUGGCUCUCAUGGAGGAAUAAUAAAAGUCACAAACUAGAGGAUGGAAAUGAAAAC